rnacentral:rRNA from 1 species
GACGAACGCUGGCGGCGUGCUUAACACAUGCAAGUCGAACGGAAAGGCCCUGCUUUUGUGGGGUGCUCGAGUGGCGAACGGGUGAGUAACACGUGAGUAACCUGCCCUUGACUUUGGGAUAACUUCAGGAAACUGGGGCUAAUACCGGAUAGGAGCUCCUGCUGCAUGGUGGGGGUUGGAAAGUUUCGGCGGUUGGGGAUGGACUCGCGGCUUAUCAGCUUGUUGGUGGGGUAGUGGCUUACCAAGGCUUUGACGGGUAGCCGGCCUGAGAGGGUGACCGGCCACAUUGGGACUGAGAGACGGCGCAGACUCCUACGGGAGGCAGCAGUGGGGAAUAUUGCACAAUGGGCGGAAGCCUGAUGCAGCAACGCCGCGUGCGGGAUAACGGCCUUCGGGUUGUAAACCGCUUUCGCCUGAGACGAAGCGUGAGUGACGGUAAUGGGUAAAGAAGCACCGGCUAACUACGUG